UACGUAGGGUGCGAGCGUUGUCCGGAAUUAUUGGGCGUAAAGAGCUUGUAGGUGGCUCGUCGCGUCGGGAGUGAAAACCCGCGGCUUAACCGCGGGCCUGCUUUCGAUACGGGCGGGCUAGAGUUCGGCAGGGGAGAACGGAAUUCCUGGUGUAGCGGUGAAAUGCGCAGAUAUCAGGAGGAACACCGGUGGCGAAGGCGGUUCUCUGGGCCUGUACUGACGCUGAGGAGCGAAAGCGUGGGGAGCAAACAGG
rnacentral:rRNA from 1 species